UACGUAGGGGGCGAGCGUUGUCCGGAUUUAUUGGGCGUAAAGAGCGUGUAGGCGGCCAGGUAGGUCUGCUGUGAAACUCGAGGCUCAACCUCGAGACGUCGGCGGAAACCAUCUGGCUAGAGUCCGGAAGAGGAGAGUGGAAUUCCUGGUGUAGCGGUGAAAUGCGCAGAUAUCAGGAGGAACACCGGUGGCGAAGGCGGAUCUCUGGGCCAUUACUGACGCUGAGGAGCGAAAGCGUGGGGAGCGAACAGG
rnacentral:rRNA from 1 species